ACGUUAAUGUUUUGUAAACUCAGGGCAGUAAUCUGCAAAUAUCCUUCUUGGCCAUUAAACAGAGAGACACCAGAUAAACAAUACAAAUCUUUUUAAUUCACUGACAACUUUGGUUUCCUACAUGUAACAUCACAUCAUGUACGUAACUGUCGUAGUAUCUAACAUCACAUCAUGUAUGUAACUGUCGUAGUAUGUAACAUCACAUCAUGUAUGUAACUGUAGUAGUAUGUAACAUCACAACAUGUAUGUAACUGUCGUAGUAUGUAACAUCACAUCAUGUAUGUAACUGUAGUAGUAUGUAACAUCACAACAUGUAUGUAACAUCACAUCAUGUAUGUAACAUCACAACAUGUAUGUAACUGUAGUAGUAUGUAACAUCACAUCAUGUAUGUAACUGUAGUAGUAUGUAACAUCACAACAUGUAUGUAACAUCACAUCAUGUAUGUAACAUCACAUGUAUGUAACUGUAGUAGUAUGUAACAUCACAUCAUGUAUGUAACUGUAGUAGUAUGUAACAUGUAUGCAACUUUAGUAGUAUGUAACAUUAUGUAUGUAACUGUAAUAGUAUGUAACAUGUAUGUAACUUUAGUAGUAUGUAACAUGUAUGUAACAUUAUGUAUGCAACUGUAGUAGUAUGUAACAUCACAUCAUGUAUGUAGCAGCAUGUAUGUAACUGUAGUAGUAUGUAACAUGUAUGUAACAUCACGUAUGUAACUGUAGUAGUAUGUAACAUCACGUAUGUAACUGUAGUAGUAUGUAACAUCAUGUAUGUAACUGUAGUAGUAUGUAACAUCACAUAAUGUAUGUAACUGUAGUAGUAUGUAACAUCACGUAUGUAACAUCAUGCAUGUAACUGUAGUAGUAUGUAACAUGUAUGUAACUGUAGUAGUAUGUAACAUGUAUGUAACAUCACGUAUGUAACUGUAGUAGUAUGUAACAUCACGUAUGUAACUGUAGUAGUAUGUAACAUCAUGUAUGUAACUGUAGUAGUAUGUAACAUCACAUAAUGUAUGUAACUGUAGUAGUAUGUAACAUCAUGCAUGUAACUGUAGUAGUAUGUAACAUGUAUGUAACUGUAGUAGUAUGUAACAUCACAUAUGUAACUGUAGUAGUAUGUAACAUCACAUAUGUAACUGUAGUAGUAUGUAACAUCAUGUAUGUAACUGUAGUAGUAUGUAACAUCUACGUAACUGUAGUAGUAUGUAACAUGUACGUAACUGUAGUAGUAUGUAACAUGUAUGUAACUGUAGUAGAAUGUAACAUCACAUAUGUAACUGUAGUAGUAUGUAACAUCAUGUAUGUAACUGUAGUAGUAUGUAACAUGUACGUAACUGUAGUAGUAUGUAACAUGUACGUAACUGUAGUAGUAUGUAACAUGUAUGUAACUGUAGUAGUAUGUAACAUCAUGUAUGUAACUGUAGUAGUAUGUAACAUCACAUAUGUAACUGUAGUAGUAUGUAACAUCAUGUAUGUAACUGUAGUAGUAUGUAACAUCACAUCAUGUAUGUAAUUGUAGUAGUAUGUAACAUGUAUGUAACUGUAGUAGAAUGUAACAUCAUGUAUGUAACUGUAGUAGUAUGUAACAUCACAACAUGUAUGUAACUGUUGUAGUAUGUAACAUCACAACAUGUAUGUAACUGUAGUAGUAUGUAACAUCACAACAUGUAUGUAACUGUAGUAGUAUGUAACAUCACAACAUGUAUGUAACUGUGGUAGUAUGUAACAUCACAUAUGUAACUGUAGUAGUAUGUAACAUCACAUCAUGUAUAUAACUGUGGUAGUAUGUAACAUCACAUAAUGUAUGUAACUAGUAGUAUGCAACAUCACAUAUGUAACUGUAGUAGUAUGUAACAUCACAUCAUGUAUAUAACUGUGGUAGUAUGUAACAUCACAUAAUGUAUGUAACUGUAGUAGUAUGCAACAUCAUGUAUGUAACUGCAGUAAUAUGUAAAUGUAGUAAUAUGUAACAUCAUGAAUGUAACAUGUAUGUAACUGUAGUAGUAUGUAACAUCACAUAAUGUAUGUAACUGUAGUAGUAUGUAACAUCACGUAUGUAACUGUAGUAGAAUGUAACAUCAUGCAUGUAACUGUAGUAGAAUUAUGUAACAUGUAUGUAACUGUAGUAGUAUGUAACAUGUAUGUAACUGUAGUAGUAUGUAACAUGUAUGUAACUGUGGUAGUAUGUAACAUCACAUAUGUAACUGUAGUAGAAUGUAACAUCAUGUAUGUAACUGUAGUAGUAUGUAACAUCACAACAUGUAUGUAACUGUAGUAGUAUGUAACAUCACAACAUGUAUGUAACUGUAGUAGUAUGUAACAUCACAUCAUGUAUGUAACUGUAGUAGUAUGUAACUGUAGUAGAAUGUAACAUCAUGUAUGUAACUGUAGUAGUAUGUAACAUCACAACAUGUAUGUAACUGUUGUAGUAUGUAACAUCACAACAUGUAUGUAACUGUAGUAGUAUGUAACAUCACAACAUGUAUGUGACUGUAGUAGCAUGUAACAUCACAACAUGUAUGUAACUGUAGUAGCAUGUAACAUCACAACAUGUAUGUAACUGUAGUAGUAUGUAACAUCACAACAUGUAUGUAACUGUGGUAGUAUGUAACAUCACAUAUGUAACUGUAGUAGUAUGCAACAUCAUGUAUGUAACUGUAGUAGCAUGUAACAUCACAACAUGUAUGUAACUGUAGUAGCAUGUAACAUCACAACAUGUAUGUAACAUCACAUAUGUAACUGUAGUAGUAUGCAACAUCAUGUAUGUAACUGUGGUAGUAUGUAACAUCAUGUGUGUAACUGCGGUAGAAUGUAACAUCAUGUAAGUAACUGUUGUAGUAUGUAACAUCACAACAUGUAUGUAACUGUAGUAGUAUGUAACAUCAUGUAUGUAACAUCAUGUAGGUAACAUCAUGUAAGUAACUGUGGUAGUAUGUAACAUCACAUUAUGUAUGUAACUGUAGUAGUAUGUAACAUCAUGUACUGUAUGUAACUGUAGUAGUAUGUAACAUGUAUGUAACUGUGGUAGUAUGUAACAUCAUGUAUGUAACUGUGGUAGAAUGUAACAUCAUGUAUGUAACUGUAGUAGUAUGUAACAUCACAUCCUGUUUGUAACAUUACAUCCUGUAUGUAACUGUGGUAGUAUGUAACAUCAUGUAUGUAACUGUAGUAGUAUGUAACAUCAUGUAUGUAACAUCACAUCAUGUAUGUAACUGUGGUAGAAUGUAACAUGAUGUAUGUAACUGUGGUAGAAUGUAACAUCACAUCAUGUAUGUAACUGUGGUAGUAUGUAACAUCACAUCAUGUAUGUAACUGUAGUAGUAUGUAACAUCAUGUAUGUAACAUCACAUCAUGUAUGUAACUGUGGUAGAAUGUAACAUCAUGUAUGUAACUGAGAGUCUCUGUGAUGCAGUCUACAGUCUACUACAGUGAGAUGCAGUCUACAGUCUACUACAGUGAGAUGCAGUCUACAGUCUACUACAGUGAGAUGCAGUCUACAGUCUACUACAGUGAGAUGCAGUCUACAGUCUACUACAGUGAGAUGCAGUCUACAGUCUACUACAGUGAGAUGCAGUCUACUACAGUGAGAUGCAGUCUACUACAGUGAGAUGCAGUCUACUACAGUGAGAUGCAGUCUACAGUCUACUACAGUGAGAUGCAGUCUACUACAGUGAGAUGCCUUCUACAGUCUACUAGAGUGAGAUGAAGCCUACAGUCCACUACAGUGAGAUACAGUGAGAUGCAGUCUACUACAGUGAGAUGCAGUCUACUACAGUGAGAUGCAGUCUACAGUCUACUACAGUGAGAUGCAGUCUACAGUCUACUACAGUGAGAUGCUGUCUACAGUCUACUACAGUGAGAUGCAGUCUACUACAGUGAUAUGCAGCCUACUACAGUGAGAUGCAGUCUACUACAGUGAGAUACAGUCUACAGUCUACUACAGUGAGAUGCAAUCUACUACAGUGAGAUGCAGUCUACAGUCUACUACAGUGAGAUGCUGUCUACAGUCUACUACAGUGAGAUGCAGUCUACUACAGUGAUAUGCAGUCUACUACAGUGAGAUGCAGUCUACAGUCUACUACAGUGAGAUGCAGUCUACAGUCUACUACAGUGAGAUGCAGUCUACAGUCUACUACAGUGAGAUGCAAUCUACUACAGUGAGAUGCAGUCUACAGUCUACUACAGUGAGAUGCAGUCUACAGUCUACUACAGUGAGAUGCAGUCUACAGUCUACUACAGUGAGAUGCAGUCUACAGUCUACUACAGUGAGAUGCAGUCUACAGUCUACUACAGUGAGAUGCAGUCUACAGUCUACUACAGUGAGAUGCAGUCUACUACAGUGAGAUACAGUCUACUACAGUGAGAUACAGUCUACAGUCUACUACAGUGAGAU
ensembl:lncRNA